AAAAAUUCAGAUUUCUGUUGUGCCGUUGUGACCAGGCCUGUCGUAACAUUCAGUUACAUAAAAUGUCCACUGUUAUUGGGCGAACCUCUGUUUAUUGGUUGUUACUGUAGGUUCAGUAAACGAUGGAAUACUU
rfam:Cicer arietinum chromosome Ca6, whole genome shotgun sequence.